rnacentral:tRNA from 1 species
UGCCCCGUGGUGCAGCGGUAGCACAGCGGACUUUGAAUCCGCUGACCUAGGUUCGAGUCCUAGCGGGGCAGCCA